AGACCACCAUUCUGUAACAUGCCAUCAUGAGAAUCAGAAUGUUGAGGAGUCUUCAUCGAGGCCCUUCUCCAUUAUAUUCACGUGGCUUGACUCCAACUUCUUGGGUUACUGCUACAAUGUUCCCUCUUCUAAGUGAACUUUCUUGACUGCUAUCAAAAAGAGUGCCUUCCCUCCGGAGAAUGGCGUGAACCCGGGAGGCGGAGCUUGCAGUGAGCCAAGAUUGCGCCACUGCACUCCAGCCUGGGCGACUCAGCGAGACUCUUGUCUCAGGAAAAAAAAAAAAAAAAAAAAAAAGAGUGACUUCCCUGUCAUAUUGUAUCCCCAUAUCCUGCUUGCCAUUUUUUCAUAGUCCUGAUCCCUACUUAAAUAUUGGCAUAUUUUUAUUGUCCUUCUCACUAAAAUGUAACACCCUGAGGGCAGGGCCUUUUACAGCACAGUGCCCAGGACAGUAAAAGGCACUUAUGAAGCCUGAGCUCAAUGAAAGAAAAUAUCUACUGGUUAGCACCUGGUACAUUGCAUGAUAUUAAGAAAUAUUUACAAAUUGUUAAAGGCACUAAAUUUGUCUGCCUUUGUCUAUCUGUGUCUGGAAGAUAUUCACAGAGCCCGUCCAUUGCCCCUCAUGCUUCAUUUGAAAGAAUAAUAGCCUGUUACACUUAAAAUCAUUGUAUGCAACCCAUACUAAGACCCUCCUAGGUCAGUCCCUAUUAUUAGAUGGGGAUGUAUUUAGUGAGCAACACCUUUAAAAGAAAAAAAAAGCGGACCCACCCUUGCUCAGCUCCCUUAAAAAUAAAUUAUGCUGUAUAUUGUUGAAAAGUGAUUUUAUUUCUGGUUCAACUCAUUCUGUACUGACUUCCCUGAAGGUCAGACUGGUCUUUUUUUUAAAGAUAUUCUCAAUCCCUGAUAUCGAUACUUCUGAGAGUAUGGCUCCAUUUUAAUAUCAGCUCAUGUGAAUAUCAAAUGAGUGUGCAUAAGCUUUUCCCACAGCAGAGUUUUGACAUUAAGAAAAUUAAAAUAUGCCCUAAUCAUAGAGUGUUUUAACUGUUGUCUGACAUUUUAAAGGAUUUUCUCAUGAAUUUCAGAAUAGAUUAUACUCCUGUCUGGCUUCUUAGGUAUAAAAAAUAAUCUUCUAAGUGAUUUAAACUUUAUUUCUAAUUUAUAAUAGAAAAAGUAUGAGAAAAAGGGAGAGAGAGAGAGAUUUAAUAGAAAAUCUGUAUGACAAAAAGCUUUCCUUUACCUUUUGUCUUUUUGUCUCACAAGAAGCCAAGGAUUUUUUUCUAAUAUAAAAUCAUAUAUAGCUUGUUAUUGCAAUUAACUUAAGUGUCCUACAGGGACAUAAUAGACUUAUUUUAACAGGCAUACACUUAGCUUUUUUACAAACUCUUCCAAGGAAAAGUAACUUCUAAUUUUUUAUACAACUCUGUAUAAGGCCAGACCUUUCAUUAUUUGUAUCACAUUUUUAAAAUUUGGAGUGGGAGUGAAGGGAGGUUCACAUUUUCAAUUUUUUUCUCUCCAGCCCAUGCUAAACAAGCUGAGGCUAUUAUAUGGCCCUAUGCAUCUGACAGUUUUACAUCUCUGAGUAAUGCUUACUAAAUAAAAGUUUAAUGUUUACUCUUUUGACAUACAUUUUUCAUGUUUUAAUGUGAGCCCUAGGUUUUUCUAUCCUAUUUGCUCAAGAUAAAUGUAUUCCUUAUAUUUAGCAUCAGGUCAAAAUAGCCUUUGCAAAGUCUUUAGAAUGGUAUUUCUCUGAUAUUAACAUUCAAGCUUAAAGAUUCUAGAAGUUCUGAACCACUUCAAGUUUCUAGAUAGUCAGAUGGCUACUUCUCUGUACCUUCUCACAUGUAACAUUCCAUUCUGUUGUGAUCUUCAAUAAAUAUCUAUUGAACACUCACUAUAUGCUCAAUAAUGCCUUUGGCCCUUGGCAUGCAUGAGUAGUAAAAACAGGAAAGAAUCCUCACCUUCCUUCAGCUGAAAAAUCUCCUUUUCCCAGAGGAAACACAUUAUAUACAAAAAUAACUAAUGAGUAGAUCUCAUGCUUUAUUAGUAGGUACUGAAUGCUAUGGGAAAAAAAGAGAGGGGGGAGAGUAUAGGAAAAAGGAAAAAAAUGCACUAUAGAAGGGAUUUUUUUAUUUAUAUUUUGGUGGUCAAGUUGGGUAGCAUUGAGAAGGUGGCACUAAAUAAAGACGGAGAAAAAUAAGGAGUAAGUCAUAUAGGGAAAAGCAGAUAGAACAUCAGGUCCAAAUACGCUAAGAAGCCGACCUGUUACAUUUAAGAAAGAAAGAAGAGAGGGGCUGAUGUGAAUCAGUGUGGUAAGGCAAGGGGAGCAGGAAUCCCAGAAGGUCUUUUAAGGAUUUUGGCAGUCAUGGAAAGAUUUUGAGAGACAGCAAUUUAAGUGUUACUUGAGUUGCUAAGAACUGGGUGUAGGGAAAAAAGGUAAAGGCAGGAGGACCACUUAACAGGCUACUGCAAUAAGCUAGGUGAUAGGUAUUGGUGCCUUGAAUCAGAGCUGCAACGGUAUUUCUUUUAGCAAUUUCCUUUCCACCUACAGUCUACCUCAACUUGGCUAAUUGCUACUCAUCUUUGGUAUUCUACUUUCUCUCACCUCCUUUGUGAAACAUUCUCUGAUAUCCAUACGCAUAUUCACACAUAAAAAUCUGGUUCAAAUACUCAUUCUAGGGGCUUUCAUAUCAUCCUGUCUUUAUUUUUGCCAGAUUGUAAUUUAUAAUAAUAUGUAUUUCCCUUCUUUACACAAUGGCCUCUUGCAAGUCAGGAAUUCUUUCUUGUGUAUCUAUAUUGCUAUCAAUCACCAUAAUUAGUUGAACAGAAAAUGCUACAUUAAUGUUUGCAUUAUGCAUUAAAUAUCCUAAUAUUUAAUACCCUAACACUUAAAAACAUAUAAUAACACAAUAACUUUCUGAUAACUGUCAGCUAGUGUAUUUAUUUUGUCUGCUAGAAACCACACUAGCUUGGAGAGAUCAUUUUAAUUUUUCUGAUUCAAGUGAAUUUACCAUAUAUUUCGUUAGGCUAAACGUAUAAAGUACAUUUUAUCUAACGAUCAUGUCUUUAACUUACAUGAUUUUGCCUUUUAACAUUAUUUCCAAAAAAGUGGCAUUUGCUAGAAAGUUUGCAAAAUGCUCAAGUAUUUCAACUUGUGUUUCUGUGUGUAGACAUAAUACAUGUAUACUAUUUGUGUGUAUGUAUAAAUUUGUGUAAAAUGUCUUGUCUAAUAUGGCAGAUUAUAAAGGAAUUCUACAAA
rnacentral:lncRNA from 10 species